AGUUUUCAUUAAAAAAGUUGUCAUAAAAGAAAGAUCUACUUUCUCAUUUCCUAUCUUUCCAGAUGACCACCUCCUCACGUGUUACCACCGUGGUGUCAUCUCCUGUGAACUUUCGCCAGAGAUGAGCCAAGACAAAUGCAGUGUCCUUCAAUUUCUACAACUGAAAUGGAGCCUGGGGAUAUUAUCUGCUACCAAGGAGACCAUGGCUGACUGGACACUGCCUUCUUCUAGUCUAGGGGAGAUCAUUCUCUGAGGUUGCCUUACUCCAGUGGACUAGGGAGAUGGAUGCUGGGUUUUACAUAUUGAGCUGUUUCCAGCUCUGAUUUGAAUCCUCCCUCGGCAGUGGACCACUUUCUGGCUGCAGCCUUCACUCCAUAGGCACAGGGGCCUGGACAAGUCGUUAACCAC
rnacentral:lncRNA from 1 species